rfam:Populus trichocarpa isolate Nisqually-1 chromosome 9, whole genome shotgun sequence.
AAAGCUAUUUUGGUUAGUUUCUCGUUUAUUUGUGUCAGACUCAUACAUAAUUAUUUAGAAUUAUCUGUCAUUACAAAUCCAAUUAUAUUAUUAACAUUGAUAAAAUAUAUUUGGAAUAAAAGUUCAUAAAAAUAUUUU